ACGGGAGGCAGCAGUGGGGGAUAUUGCACAAUGGGCGAAUGCCUGAUGCAGCAAUGCCGCGUGAGGGAAGAAGGUUUUCGGAUUGUAAACCUCUGUCCCCUGUGACGAAACAAAUGACGGUAGCAGGGGAGGAAGCCACGGCUAACUACGUGCCAGCAGCCGCGGUAAUACGUAGGUGGCAAGCGUUGUCCGGAUUUACUGGGUGUAAAGGGAGCGCAGGCGGGAGAGCAAGUCAGCGGUGAAAUACAUGGGCUUAACCCAUGAACUGCCGUUGAAACUGUUUUUCUUGAGUGAAGUAGAGGUAGGCGGAAUUCCGAGUGUAGCGGUGAAAUGCGUAGAUAUUCGGAGGAACACCAGUGGCGAAGGCGGCCUACUGGGCUUUUACUGACGCUGAGGCUCGAAAGUGUGGGGAGCAAACA
rnacentral:rRNA from 1 species